UUUAUGGAGAGUUUGAUCCUGGCUCAGGAUGAACGCUGGCGGCGUGCCUAAUACAUGCAAGUCGAGCGAACGGACGAGAAGCUUGCUUCUCUGAUGUUAGCGGCGGACGGGUGAGUACCACGUGGAUAACCUACCUAUAAGACUGGGAUAACUUCGGGAAACCGGAGCUAAUACCGGAUAAUAUUUUGAACCGCAUGGUUCAAAAGUGAAAGACGGUCUUGCUGUCACUUAUAGAUGGAUCCGCGCUGCAUUAGCUAGUUGGUAAGGUAACGGCUUACCAAGGCAACGAUGCAUAGCCGACCUGAGAGGGUGAUCGGCCACACUGGAACUGAGACACGGUCCAGACUCCUACGGGAGGCAGCAGUAGGGAAUCUUCCGCAAUGGGCGAAAGCCUGACGGAGCAACGCCGCGUGAGUGAUGAAGGUCUUCGGAUCGUAAAACUCUGUUAUUAGGGAAGAACAUAUGUGUAAGUAACUGUGCACAUCUUGACGGUACCUAAUCAGAAAGCCACGGCUAACUACGUGCCAGCAGCCGCGGUAAUACGUAGGUGGCAAGCGUUAUCCGGAAUUAUUGGGCGUAAAGCGCGCGUAGGCGGUUUUUUAAGUCUGAUGUGAAAGCCCACGGCUCAACCGUGGAGGGUCAUUGGAAACUGGAAAACUUGAGUGCAGAAGAGGAAAGUGGAAUUCCAUGUGUAGCGGUGAAAUGCGCAGAGAUAUGGAGGAACACCAGUGGCGAAGGCGACUUUCUGGUCUGUAACUGACGCUGAUGUGCGAAAGCGUGGGGAUCAAACAGGAUUAGAUACCCUGGUAGUCCACGCCGUAAACGAUGAGUGCUAAGUGUUAGGGGGUUUCCGCCCCUUAGUGCUGCAGCUAACGCAUUAAGCACUCCGCCUGGGGAGUACGACCGCAAGGUUGAAACUCAAAGGAAUUGACGGGGACCCGCACAAGCGGUGGAGCAUGUGGUUUAAUUCGAAGCAACGCGAAGAACCUUACCAAAUCUUGACAUCCUUUGACAACUCUAGAGAUAGAGCCUUCCCCUUCGGGGGACAAAGUGACAGGUGGUGCAUGGUUGUCGUCAGCUCGUGUCGUGAGAUGUUGGGUUAAGUCCCGCAACGAGCGCAACCCUUAAGCUUAGUUGCCAUCAUUAAGUUGGGCACUCUAAGUUGACUGCCGGUGACAAACCGGAGGAAGGUGGGGAUGACGUCAAAUCAUCAUGCCCCUUAUGAUUUGGGCUACACACGUGCUACAAUGGACAAUACAAAGGGCAGCGAAACCGCGAGGUCAAGCAAAUCCCAUAAAGUUGUUCUCAGUUCGGAUUGUAGUCUGCAACUCGACUACAUGAAGCUGGAAUCGCUAGUAAUCGUAGAUCAGCAUGCUACGGUGAAUACGUUCCCGGGUCUUGUACACACCGCCCGUCACACCACGAGAGUUUGUAACACCCGAAGCCGGUGGAGUAACCUUUUAGGAGCUAGCCGUCGAAGGUGGGACAAAUGAUUGGGGUGAAGUCGUAACAAGGUAGCCGUAUCGGAAGGUGCGGCUGGAUCACCUCCUUUCU
rnacentral:rRNA from 1 species